AGAAUCAACGCUGGCGGCGUGCCUAACACAUGCAAGUCGAACGAGAAAGUGGAGCAAUCCAUGAGUAAAGUGGCGCACGGGUGAGUAACACGUGACUAACCUACCCUUGAGUGGGGGAUAACCUAGAGAAAUCUGGGCUAAUACCGCAUAAUACCUUCGGGUCAAAGGAGCAAUUCGCUUAAGGAGGGGUCGCGGCCGAUUAGUUAGUUGGCGGGGUAAUGGCCCACCAAGACUGUGAGUCGGUA
rnacentral:rRNA from 1 species